AACGAACGCUGGCGGCAUGCCUAACACAUGCACGUCUAACGAGACCUUUGGGUCUCGUGGCGCACGGGUGAGUCACGCGUAGGAACCUGCCCUUAGGUUCGGCAUAACUCCCCGAAAGGGGUGCUAAUACCGGAUAAUGUCUUCGGACCAAUGAUUUAUCGCCCUUGGAUGGGCCCGCGCUGGAUUAGCUACUUGGUAGGGUUAAAGCCUACCCACGCGACGAUCCAUAGCUGGUCAGCGAGGAUGCUCACCCACACUGGGAGUGCGACACGGCCCAGACUCCUGAGGGAGGCAGCAAUGGGGAAUAUUGGACUAGGGGAAACAGCCUGAUCCAGCCAUGCCGCGAGAAGAAUGUAGGCCUUAGGGUUGUAGAGCUCUUUUGCCCGUGAUGAUGAUGACAGUACCGGGAGAAUAAGCUCCGGCUAACUCCGUG
rnacentral:rRNA from 1 species